UUUCUUGUGGUGUAAGUAACACACCAGUUUUUCGAGCUGGAAAUAAGUUUAAAUGCUUCAAGAGGC
rnacentral:tRNA from 1 species